UUUAUUUUCUCUCCUCCAGGCUCCAAGCCCAAGAACCAAACCUUUUCUCAAUUCUCAGCAGGUAACAGCAACACAAAUCGGAUUCUCAAUCUCAAUCUCAAAUUCUCAGUCGAAUCGGGAAAAUCCACCAUUUUUGCUGUCCAUUUUUCUUCCAGCACACCAAUACCCAGAGGCCAGGUUUGCUUUAUUCUAAUUUCCCUUUCGUUUUUUUCCAAUUUCUUCAAUGGCAGAUAUAUUUUAGGGUUUUGUUUUGUUUAGUUUGUCUACCUUUUUCUGAUUUAACUUUUCUUCUUUUUCUUCUUCUUCUUCUUCUUCUUCUUUUUCUUCUUCUUCUUCUUUUUCUUCUUCUUCUUCUUCAGUUCUUCUUUUUUUUUUCUUCAGUUCUUCUUUUUUUUUUCUUUUUAAGUUCCGAAUCACUGCAAACUCCCACUUGUUUUUCGUUAAUAGUACAGCCUGCUUUGAAAGUUUUCAAUCUGCAAGAUUUUUUUCCCCUGGCGUUAUGUUCUGUUUGGUGGCUGAGAAAAUGUAGGAAGAAAGAUAAAUAGGCUUUUGAUUUCUGACAGCUGUGUUAAUAUCAUUUCGUCAAAGUGAAUUUUAAUUCACUACCUAAACCAGAAAAAUAAAUUAAAUGCGAAUAGAGACGAAAAUGAGAGUUUUGUUCUCUGGAUUUCAUGGUAACAAUAACGAAUAUAGACAAUUAUUUAUGUUUCAUAUCUCAACAGCGUUCCAAUUCUUAAUUGUUAUUAUUUUUUCCUUUGUGAAAUUGGAAUUUCUAUGGAAGGAUUGCUUCAAAGUCUUUAAAGGCAUUUGGUUUAGUUGAACUCUGUGUGUGUUUUCCAGGUUGAAUAUGUGAGGCAAUUAGAUGUCACCCAACAUUGUUUCUAUUUAGUAUUUACUGUCUUUGAAUGUGCCUUCAAUUUCAAAGAUACUGAAUUUGGUUUGAAAAUUGUUUCCAUUUCAAUUUUCAAAGAUACUGACAUUAUAUUAAGAUGUAAUUGUUUCAAUUACUUCAUCACUCUUGCUUUGCUUGCUGCUCAUGCUCCUAAUUUGCAUAUUCUAUUUCGUUUAAUUUUUAUUUUUGUUAAAAAUUAUUGAAAUACAAAAGAUAAAUGAUAAAUUUAUUUUAUAACGCUAUAAAACAAAUUAUUUAAUACAUAUUAAAUACAAUAUAGUAUUUCUUUUUAGAAAUUCAACAGUUUAAAAACCAAAUCAUAAAUCCAAUAAACAUGAAAGCAAUAUAUAAUUAACACAACUUGCUCUUGUUUUUAAUUUUUUUAACAUCUAUUUAAUAACUCCCUUUGUAUUUCUAUUUACAUUAAUAAACAUAUUAUAGCGACUAUAAAAAUAGCAAAAAGAUUAUUUAACUUAAAAGAAGAGAAAAAUAGUUGUCUGCUGCCUUUCAAUUUUCAAUUUUCAUUCUAUUGAUAAAAGAUUUUAAUCUCUACAUUUUCAAAAUAAGAUGAAAAAAAAUGCAUUUUUUUAAAUUCUCUUACAUCGAUUUUUUAAUAUCUAUUUAAAUUUUAAUAUCUAUUUAAAAUUGGCGUUAUCAAACAAGUUUCUAAUAACUUUAACAGUAACUUAGCAAAGUGUUACCCUUUUCAAAAUUUAUUCUAUUUCUCUCUCAAAUUGUAAAGAAACCUUAAAACCCCUCAUCUCUGCUAUAGUCAUAGUGCAACCAACUUCUAUUUGGAUUGUUGUGCGCCAUCCGUCCCUCCUCUCUCCGAUCUUCCCUCUACUUUUUUAUAUUGGAGUUCGAUGGUUUGUUGAGAAGAGCAUGGCUUUGUUUGCGAGAGUCAAUGCACCAGUAAAAUGACUCCUAAUCUAGUGGCUAAUGCCUCAAUUUGCGUUGUUGACUCUUCUAAUACUUGUGUUUUUGCUAACCAAUUUCAACCUUUGUCUCUCCGAAUUGAUGACUCGAUAUUAUUUUGAUUUAUUAUAUUUUUUUUCUUACAAAAUGUCAACCGAACCAACAUCUAUUGAGGGUAGUGUUACACCUCCUACUUCGAUAGAUUCUGAAAAUUCGGGAGUUGGAGCUUCAAGCCAAACAAAGGGGACUAACAGGAAAAGAAAAGCCGCUCCUCAAAAGUCAAAAGUUUGGUCUCACUUCACUAAGAUUAUUAAUAGUGAGGGUGCAAGUAAUGCUAAAUGUAAUUAUUGUCAAAAGGAAUUUUGUUGUGAUAUAAAAAUAAAUGGUACAGGGUUAUUGAAAUAUCAUAUUGGUUCAUGUAAGAAAAAUCCUAGUAAUGUUAUUGAAAAUACUCAAGGACAACUAGUUUUACCUAGAAAGGGAGUUGAAGGGGUAAAGAGAAUCUUUCAACUUGGAGAUUUGAUCAAGAAGCAUGUAGGAAAGGAUUAGCACAAAUGAUUGUGAUUGAUGAAUUACCUUUCAAGUUUGUUGAAAGUGAAGGUUUUAAUAAAUUUAUGUUUGUGGCAUGUCCUAAGUUUCAUAUUCCUUCACGAACUACUAUGACUAGGGAUGUUUAUCAAUUAUAUUUAGAUGAAAAGAUCAAGAUAAAACAACUUUUUGAGAAGUUCUUGUUCUAGAAUUUGCUUAACUACUGACACAUGGACUUCUUUAAAAAGAGUUAAUUAUUUGUGCAUCACUACUCAUUUUAUUGAUAAUGAUUGGAAAUUAAAUAAAAAGAUUUUAAACUUUUAUCCAAUUUCUAGUCAUAAGGGUGAGUGUAUUGGGAUGGUGAUUGAGAAAUGCUUAUUGAAUUGGGGGAUUGAUAAGUUGUUUACUGUUACUGUUGAUAAUGCAAGUUCAAAUGAUGUUGCUAUUGGUUAUUUGAGAAAGAAAUGUAACCCUCGAGAGGGCUUAGUUCAAAAUGGUAAAUAUCUUCAUAUGAGAUGCAUGGCACACAUUGUGAAUUUGAUUGUUGUUGAAGGCUUAAAGGAAAUGAAUAAAUCUGUUGAACGUGUUAGGGGGCUGUUAGAUAUGUGAGACAAUCUCCAGCUAGAUCACAAAAAUUUAAGGAGUGUGUUGUGGUGGAAAAGAUAGAGUGCAAGAAGAUGUUGUGUCUUGAUGUUUGUACUAGGUGGAACUCGACCUACUUAAUGUUAGACAUUGUUCAGAACUUUGAGAGAGCUUUUGAGAUAUUUGAGAAGCAAGAUACAAACUUUAGGGCUGAACUUAAAAGGGAAGAGGGUUGACCUAGUGUGGAUGAUUGGGAUAAUGUUAGAAACUUAAGGGAUUUCUUGGAACACUUUUAUGAAGUCACUUUGCAUUUAUCUGGCACUUCAUAUGUCACAUUCAAUAAAUUUUUUGAUGAGCUUUCUGAAAUUGAUAUUCUUUUACAAGAUGCUCAGUUAAAAAGUAAUGUUGAUUUCUGUGUUAUGGCCAUCAAGAUGAAAGAGAAGUAUGAUAAAUAUUGGGGUGAUAUUGAUAAGAUGAAUUUGCUUAUGUUUGUUGCUUGUAUUUUAGAUCCUAGACAAAAACUAAAGUAUCUUGAAUUUGCACUUAGUGAAAUGUCUAGUUCUGAAAAAGCUUGUGAAAUGAUGCAAAAAUUGAAGGAAUCUUUGUAUGAAUUGUUUGAUGAGUAUAAGCCUCCACUUCAUAGUACUUGUAGCCAAUUGAGUGUGCCAACAUAUGUUUCUCUCGAUGAACCACAAAAAAAAUGAAAAGGCGAAUGCAAGCUUUGUAUAAAAAGCGUGAGUUGAAAUUUUGUGGUGAGGAUAAAACAUCUGAGUUGGAUAAAUAUCUAAUUGAGGCUAAUGAGGAAUUUGUUGAAGAUUUUGAUAUUUUAUUAUGGUAGAAAGUGAACAGCACUAGGUUUCCCACUCUUUCAAAAAUGGCCAGAGAUGUGUUAGCUAUACCGGUUUCUACGGUUGCUUCAGAGUCUACAUUUAGCACCGGAGGACGUGUGCUUGAUCAAUAUAGGAGUUCUUUAACUCCUAAAAUUGUACAAGCUCUUGUGUGUACUCAAUAUUGGAUUCAAAAAUCAUUAUCACAAGAAGACAUCAAAAAGAUUAAAGAACAAAUCCAAGAUCUUGACAAGAUCGAAAAUGGUAUAUUUAUUGUUUUAUUUUAAUAGUUUCAAUUUUUUUACCAUAUCACUCCUACUUAUUUAAUUAAUUCAAUGUUUAGACUUUUCUUGGAAUGCAUCAAAGCCUACCCUAAAUUCGUGAGCUUUCGUGAGUUGAAGGGUAUGCUUACUAUCUUAUUCUUGUUAACUUAUAAUCUAUUCGUUUGUUUAUAUUAUUUAAUUUUUUUAGAUGCGUAUAUUUCUAUUAUAUGCUAAAUUUUUGCACAUGUUUUUUUUGUAGGUUUAAUGCAAAUGGAGAUUUUUUGGAGAGAAGAAAUGGAUAUAAAUGGAGAAUAUUAAAGACUUACAUUUCAAUUAUGUGUUAAUUUCAAGACUUAUGUAAUGUUUUUAAUUAUGUAGUGAUUCAAAGACUUAUGUAAUGUUUUUAAUUAUGUAGUGAUUCAAUUCGGGUAAUUCGGUUAAUUCGGUUAAUUUUUAACUAAAAAUAAAAACCAUAUAAUUUUCUAUUAAUUCGGUUAACCGAUCGAUUUAACCGAAAAAAUUUCGGUUCGAUUAAUUUUUUUUUUAAAAAUUCAGUUCGGUUAACGGUUAAAAAUUUUGGAAGGUCGGUUAAUCCAGUUAUAGUUAUUUUGAGUCGGUUAAUCGAAUGCACACCCCUAUAAUUAACAUGCUUGAUGAGGAUAUGUGUUUAGGCAAUUGGCCAAAUUGGUUUGAUCAUGUUUAGUUAGCUUACCUUAAAUGUGAAAUAAAUGGUAAGUUAAUUUCCUGUUAUACGAACUUACUAAGUAUUAAAUGCUUACUUUGUUUUCUUUCCUCUGUUUUAUAGUAACCUGGAAGCUCGUUAAGGUUAGAAGUUGGUCGGAGCCACAUCACACUAUCAAUCGCCCUUUUUCGGUAUAUUUAUUAAAUCAACUUUGAUAUAAUGACAUGUAUAGGUUAAUUUGGCCAAUAAUGGCAUGUAAAUGUUUUGUUGUGAUUAGCCAUUUGAAUGACUUAUGUUUGAUACAUUUCGAUAUAUAUAUAAGUAUAUGGCCUUAUCAUGGUUGAUAUGUGUUUUGGUAUAAUUGAUUGAUGGUUAACUAAUAGGCAAAUUGUAAUAUGGCUUGAGUUGGUAUAGUUGGUAUAGAUAUGAAUAUAUAUAUGUAAGUGAUCAAAUUGUUAAGCAUGG
rnacentral:lncRNA from 1 species